GACGAACGCGGCGGCGUGCUUAACACAUGCAAGUCGAACGAAGAGCGAUGGAAGCUUGCUUCUAUCAAUCUUAGUGGCGAACGGGUGAGUAACGCGUAAUCAACCUGCCCUUCAGAGGGGGACAACAGUUGGAAACGACUGCUAAUACCGCAUACAAUCUAACCUUGGCAUCGAGGAUGGAUGAAAGGUGGCCUCUAUUUAUAAGCUAUCACUGAAGGAGGGGAUUGCGUCUGAUUAGCUAGUUGGAGGGGUAACGGCCCACCAAGGCGAUGAUCAGUAGCCGGUCUGAGAGGAUGAACGGCCACAUUGGGACUGAGACACGGCCCAGACUCCUACGGGAGGCAGCAGUGGGGAAUCUUCCGCAAUGGACGAAAGUCUGACGGAGCAACGCCGCGUGAGUGAUGACGGCCUUCGGGUUAUAAAGCUCUGUUAAUCGGGACGAAAGGCCUUC
rnacentral:rRNA from 1 species